AGAGUUUGAUCCUGGCUCAGAACGAACGCUGGCGGCAUGCCUAACACAUGCAAGUCGAACGAGACCUUCGGGUCUAGUGGCGCACGGGUGCGUAACGCGUGGGAAUCUGCCCUUGGGUUCGGGAUAACAGUUGGAAACGACUGCUAAUACCGGAUGAUGACUUCGGUCCAAAGAUUUAUCGCCCAGGGAUGAGCCCGCGUAGGAUUAGCUAGUUGGUGAGGUAAAGGCUCACCAAGGCGACGAUCCUUAGCUGGUCUGAGAGGAUGAUCAGCCACACUGGGACUGAGACACGGCCCAGACUCCUACGGGAGGCAGCAGUGGGGAAUAUUGGACAAUGGGCGAAAGCCUGAUCCAGCAAUGCCGCGUGAGUGAUGAAGGCCUUAGGGUUGUAAAGCUCUUUUACCCGGGAUGAUAAUGACAGUACCGGGAGAAUAAGCCCCGGCUAACUCCGUGCCAGCAGCCGCGGUAAUACGGAGGGGGCUAGCGUUGUUCGGAAUUACUGGGCGUAAAGCGUACGUAGGCGGCUUUGUAAGUUAGAGGUGAAAGCCCGGAGCUCAACUCCGGAAUUGCCUUUAAGACUGCAUCGCUUGAAUCAUGGAGAGGUUAGUGGAAUUCCGAGUGUAGAGGUGAAAUUCGUAGAUAUUCGGAAGAACACCAGUGGCGAAGGCGACUAACUGGACAUGUAUUGACGCUGAGGUACGAAAGCGUGGGGAGCAAACAGGAUUAGAUACCCUAGUAGUCC
rnacentral:rRNA from 1 species